rnacentral:rRNA from 1 species
GAGUUUGAUCCUGGCUCAGAUUGAACGCUGGCGGCAGGCCUAACACAUGCAAGUCGAGCGGUAGAGAGAAGCUUGCUUCUCUUGAGAGCGGCGGACGGGUGAGUAAUGCCUAGGAAUCUGCCUGGUAGUGGGGGAUAACGCUCGGAAACGGACGCUAAUACCGCAUACGUCCUACGGGAGAAAGCAGGGGACCUUCGGGCCUUGCGCUAUCAGAUGAGCCUAGGUCGGAUUAGCUAGUUGGUGAGGUAAUGGCUCACCAAGGCGACGAUCCGUAACUGGUCUGAGAGGAUGAUCAGUCACACUGGAACUGAGACACGGUCCAGACUCCUACGGGAGGCAGCAGUGGGGAAUAUUGGACAAUGGGCGAAAGCCUGAUCCAGCCAUGCCGCGUGUGUGAAGAAGGUCUUCGGAUUGUAAAGCACUUUAAGUUGGAGGAAGGGCAGUAAAUUAAUAACUUUGCUGUUUUGACGUUACCGACAGAAUAAGCACCGGCUAACUCUGUGCCAGCCGACC